UUUAUAUGAGAGUUUGAUCCUGGCUCAGGAUGAACGCUGGCGGCGUGCCUAAUACAUGCAAGUCGAACGAGUUCUCGUUGAUGAUCGGUGCUUGCACCGAGAUUCAACAUGGAACGAGUGGCGGACGGGUGAGUAACACGUGGGUAACCUGCCCUUAAGUGGGGGAUAACAUUUGGAAACAGAUGCUAAUACCGCAUAGAUCCAAGAACCGCAUGGUUCUUGGCUGAAAGAUGGCGUAAGCUAUCGCUUUUGGAUGGACCCGCGGCGUAUUAGCUAGUUGGUGAGGUAAUGGCUCACCAAGGCGAUGAUACGUAGCCGAACUGAGAGGUUGAUCGGCCACAUUGGGACUGAGACACGGCCCAAACUCCUACGGGAGGCAGCAGUAGGGAAUCUUCCACAAUGGACGCAAGUCUGAUGGAGCAACGCCGCGUGAGUGAAGAAGGCUUUCGGGUCGUAAAACUCUGUUGUUGGAGAAGAAUGGUCGGCAGAGUAACUGUUGUCGGCGUGACGGUAUCCAACCAGAAAGCCACGGCUAACUACGUGCCAGCAGCCGCGGUAAUACGUAGGUGGCAAGCGUUAUCCGGAUUUAUUGGGCGUAAAGCGAGCGCAGGCGGUUUUUUAAGUCUGAUGUGAAAGCCCUCGGCUUAACCGAGGAAGCGCAUCGGAAACUGGGAAACUUGAGUGCAGAAGAGGACAGUGGAACUCCAUGUGUAGCGGUGAAAUGCGUAGAUAUAUGGAAGAACACCAGUGGCGAA
rnacentral:rRNA from 1 species